UUAACUUAUGACGAUUAACUUUAAACGUGUCGAAUUUAUUCCGAUUCACUUAACACCGAGUUAUUAUUGCCUAUUCGUAAUUUACUAGCUUGCCAUACGAACUUGAUUUACGGGCAAUACACAACACAGAUAUAGAACUAAAGAAAAAAAAAGAAACACGUAAAUAUGGCGUUAUAGAUGCACGCGAUUAUUCGGAAAAUAUGAUAACCU